ensembl:snRNA U6 U6 spliceosomal RNA
UGCUUCCUUCAGAGGCACAUAUAUAAAAUUGGAAAGAUGCAGAUAAUUAGCAUGGUCCCUGCACAAAGAUGACAUGCAAAUUCCAUAUUUUUUAAUAAAUUAG